rnacentral:lncRNA from 1 species
CGGUUAGUCACCUUCUGUUUGGGCAUGUCAUUUAAUCUCUUUGAGGCUGUUUCUUCAUCUUAAAAUAUGAGUGAGAAGGUAGUACCCACCUUACAAUGUGGACAAGAUUAAUUUAGGGAAAACACGUAGCACAGGGCUUCACCCAUGGUAAGUAUUUCAUAAACGGUAACUAUUUUUAACAAUGACAAUUCACAGAGUUAAUCCUAAUAAAAAAUGAUUACAGAAGAGGACGCCUCCACCCACAGGAAGGAGCCAGCACGGUGGGGAGCUGUUUCACCAGGGGAGUGUUCUCAGCAGCUGCCACACGUGGAGUUGUGGAGGAUCUUGGCAGUGGACUGCCACGGGAGCUCUGGGGAAAAAGGACCAGUUGGACUCCAGUACCUCCUGAGAGACCACCACCCUCCAUGCCUCCAGCUCAUGCCCAGCUCUGAGUCAGACGGACUCUUCCUGUUGUACUGCGAGGUUCUGCAAACCUUGAAGGGCAAACACAGUGAGGGUCUCUGACUUGCUGUGUGGACAGCCCACUCUCUGACAGCCCAGAUCAUCUGAAGCUAUCCCUGGGCUGGGAGCUGGAAGCCAUUCUUGUGAACCACUCCUUAUACCUUGAGCGAAGCCUCUUUGGGUCCCAGAAGUCUGAAGCUCCAGCUGCCUGGCAAGACUGAGUCUAGAUGAUUUCUUGGGUACCAGUAGUUUGGCAUUUAAAAAUACUGGAUUAACUGCAGUGUAAACUUAGAUUGCAUUUCAGAUUGUAAACAAUAACCCCCGUGCUUCAUGUGAUGUUAAAUCAGAAAUGAGCUAUUAGCCAAGCUAGUCCUCUUAUGAAUGAG